rnacentral:rRNA from 1 species
UACGUAGGGAGCAAGCGUUGUCCGGAAUCAUUGGGCGUAAAGCGCGUGUAGGCGGUCCGGUAAGUCCGCUGUGAAAGUCGGGGGCUCAACCCUCGAAUGCCGGUGGAUACUGUCGGGCUAGAGUACGGAAGAGGCGAGUGGAAUUCCUGGUGUAGCGGUGAAAAUGCGCAGAUAUCAGGAGGAACACCAAUUGCGAAGGCAGCUCGCUGGGACGUUACUGACGCUGAGGCACGAAAGCGUGGGGAGCAAACAGG